UACGGGGGGGGCAAGCGUUGUUCGGAAUUACUGGGCGUAAAGGGCGCGUAGGCGGCCUGCUAAGUCGAACGUGAAAUCCCCGGGCUCAACCCGGGAACUGCGUCCGAUACUGGCAGGCUUGAAUUCGGGAGAGGGAUGCGGAAUUCCAGGUGUAGCGGUGAAAUGCGUAGAUAUCUGGAGGAACACCGGUGGCGAAGGCGGCAUCCUGGACCGAAAUUGACGCUGAGGCGCGAAAGCCAGGGGAGCAAACGGG
rnacentral:rRNA from 1 species